rnacentral:rRNA from 1 species
GGUGCAUGGUUGUCGUCAGCUCGUGUCGUGAGAUGUGGUUAAGUCCCGCAACGAGCGCAACCCUCGACCUUAGUUGCCAGCAUUCAGUUGGGCACUCUAAGGUGACUGCCGGCUAAAAGUCGGAGGAAGGUGGGGAUGACGUCAAAUCAUCAUGCCCCUUAUGACCUGGGCUACACACGUGCUACAAUGGGCGGUACAAAGGGUCGCGAACCCGCGAGGGGGAGCCAAUCCCAAAAAGCCGCUCUCAGUUCGGAUUGCAGGCUGCAACUCGCCUGCAUGAAGCCGGAAUCGCUAGUAAUCGCGGAUCAGCAUGCCGCGGUGAAUACGUUCCCGGGCCUU